rnacentral:lncRNA from 1 species
CCAAGUAGGUACUUAAACGUAUGGAAUGUUAUGUAUGAGGGAAUGAUUAAAUACAAUAAUGAAAGUUUGGUUAGGAAACUUCUAUAUGACGUGUAUGAAAGGCUUAUGGAAAUGUACUGAUCAUCAUGAGAUGAUGAAUUCUCUUGAAGUUGAGCGUUUGCGACAGUUUGCCAAUGAAGGCAGUGACUUUUAGCUAAUUAUAACUUGUU